rnacentral:lncRNA from 1 species
CAAUACUUUGUAUGGUUGGGCAAUGCUUUUAUAUGUGUGAUUGAAGUCUGAUUGUCUCUCGAGGUCCCCAGUGUUAAAGAUUACACUCAUUACUAGUGAUAAUAUUUAGAUUCUUUCGUCUAGGCACAAUAAUUUGAUUUUGGAAUUGUUGUGGAUUCAUAUCGUUUUAAUAGUGAAACGUUGAACCGUGGAGCAAAUGGUCUUUUAAGCCACCAGCAUCAACACCCAACUGUUUGGACCAAUGGCAUCAAAGAUACUAGCGCAUUUCCAUGGCAACGACUUCACCGUGCCAAUUAGGACAAGUUUCUUUGCACCCCGGUCUGUUUUUGCUUCCCAACUUGUGCUUUUUCAUUGUUCAAUGCUUUUGAAUGCUAAUGAAGAAACUCAGUUUUGAACAUCAUUCUGGAAUUUUAACUGUUUUGGUAAAUUUGCUGCGUCACAUCAUUUGUUCAAACUGCAUUUUAAUUUGUCAUUUCUGCCGAAUAACGUUGAAAGUUGUUAGUGAAAAUAUCAUAUAAAUAUUAGCGGGCCCAGAGCUCAAAGGAUUAAUAGUUCAGUAAUAACCGACAGCAUUUGAUUGCUUGCAUACGGCUCAGCUGAAAAUGUUUUCCAUAAAGUCUCUGAUUGUUGUCCUGAUGAUUGCCGCAUUAGGGUGUUUCAUGCUCGAAACGUCUGCCACCCCCGUACCUAAACCAUUGAUUUUUGUCGGUUUAGGAGGGCAUGGAGGGUUUUACGCUCGCCACCACGUCUACUAUGGGCAUUCUUCCCCGUAUUUCUACGGAAAGUGAUAAGUGAAUGAAAUAAAAUGCCUUGAAUACUU